rnacentral:rRNA from 1 species
UACAGAGGUCCCAAGCGUUGUUCGGAUUCACUGGGCGUAAAGGGUGCGUAGGUGGCCAGGUAAGUUUGGUGUGAAAGCUCGGAGCUUAACUCCGAAAAGUCAUUGAAUACUAUCUGGCUGGAGGGUCGGAGGGGAGACUGGAAUUCCUGGUGUAGCGGUGGAAAUGCGCAGAUAUCAGGAGGAACACCGGUGGCGAAGGCGGGUCUCUGGGCCGAUACUGACGCUGAGGAGCGAAAGCGUGGGGAGCAAACAGG